CAUCAUUCCGAUGAACAUAUACAAAAAUUGGAACAAUAUAGAGAAGAUUAGCAUGGUCCCUGCGAAAGGAUGACACGCAAAUUCGUGAAGCGUUCCAAAUUCUU
rnacentral:snRNA from 1 species